CCUACGGGUGGCAGCAGUGGGGAAUAUUGCACAAUGGGGGAAACCCUGAUGCAGCAACGCCGCGUGAAGGAUGACGGUUUUCGGGUUGUAAACUUCUAUCAAUAGGGAAGAAAGAAAUGACGGUACCUAAAUAAGAAGCCCCGGCUAACUACGUGCCAGCAGCAGCGGUAAUACGUAGGGGGCAAGCGUUCUCCGGAAUUACUGGGUGUAAAGGGAGAGUAGGCGGCAAGGUAAGCGAGAUGUGAAAGCCUUAAGCUUAACUUAAGGACGGCAUAACGGACUAUCUAGCUAGAGUACAGGAGAGGAAAGCGGAAUUCCUAGUGUAGCGGUGAAAUGCGUAGAUAUUAGGAAGAACACCAGUGGCGAAGGCGGCUUUCUGGACUGAAACUGACGCUGAGGCUCGAAAGCGUGGGGAGCGAACAGGAUUAGAUACCCUGGUAGUC
rnacentral:rRNA from 1 species